UAGGGUUUUGUAAAUCCUAAAAGCACCCUACAGAUGUCAAGUGCUGGUGUUGGCAAAUGAUGGUGGUUAGCCAGGAUCACAUCUCUGACUGCAUCACAUUUAUUAACCAUUUUUAGUCUUUGACUCUAUAUUCACUUAAACCUUGCUUCUUCCAGGACAUCCCUAGCAUGUCCAUUCUUUGAGACUUGAGCUAUUUUUGGAGAGGAUUCUCUUCAGAAAAGACAUCAUUUUGUGCUGCCACCUACUGGCCCAUGCAGAUAUUAUUUUUUUCUGGGGAUGGAACAGGUCAUUGUUUUUCAGGAGGGAAUCUCACAAAUUAUACAAUUUCAGAAUUGUCAGCGUUCUUGGAAACCUUAAGAAUAUGAUUUGACAAAAAUAUUAUAUAUGUUUUAUUUUAUUCACGUUUGCAUUACUCUUUAAGGAAAACAAUAAAUAUUUUAAAAGACUCAGUAAUUGUAGCUGAAUGCUGACUUUAAGGGUUACUGCAUGACAGCUAGGACUGAGAAUUGAGUCUCUUGAUUCCUAUUUCUAUGUAUCCCAAGUCUCAAAUACAUACUUAAGAAACAAAUAAAUAAUAAAUUAAAUAAUAUUUUAAGUAAGAACAGUUUGGACAAACCACUUUAUUCCAAAAGUAGACCUCGUUCUGCAAACCCACUGUGCUUGUCUCAAAGGAAAUAACCGAGAGUCCCUGCACAUAAAUUACUUAAUUUGUUUUCUCAGCACAUCUCCAUGCAAGUAGCUCUUCCCACAGAGCUCUGCUAACUUCAAAGACAUGUCUCCACGGGAAAGAAGCACGCAAAGUGUGGUAAGCAGAGGAGAAUGCGGGAAUGCACUCAUGAGUCUAAGGACUUUUAUUUAAGGCUUUUAAUUGUUGCAACUGUUAAAAUCUUAAAGCUAUUCCCAUGUUUUGAGACUACCCAUUACUUACUAGAGCUGAGGUGGAAAAAACAAUAAUUACUUUGAUUAGGUUUCUAAUGUUCACUCUUUUACUUCUGCUAUUGUCUAUUUUUCUUUUCUUUCUUCCUUAAUACAGACUGCAAGUCUAAUCCCUGAAGCCAAUAAAUUUGUCUCCAGUCCACAAACAUUUAUAAACUAUUAGGUUCAAGGAACAUUAUGGAUUUGGGGAGACACAAAGAUAGCAGCAAUACAUAUUCUGUUCUCAAGGAACAUGCAGAAGAACAUGUAUGGGGAACACAGGUGUUUUCAUUUCAUAUAUCAAAUCAGCAAACAUUCAUUAAAAGCCUACCUUGAACAAAGCAUUAUGGCAGAGAGCUUCUCUGUGCUAACAACGAAGAUGUACAUGAUCUCGACUACAAUAUAAUUUGAAAUAUGGUAAAAGUGGAACAUGGAAGAAUCAUUUACAUCACAGUUAUUGCAGUUCUACGUGCCAUACAUCUGAGACAACAAUCAACAAAGUUCUCAGGGGCCUGUACUUGUGUGAGCACUGGCAUAGCUUGACUAAAAAGAAGACUGCCUCAGGAUGUCUCCCAAGAAAGAAGUCAAGGGACAAAGUCUACUAUUCUGUUUUCAAUAUAUCUUAAUUAAUGUAAAUAGCAUUUAGUUUUGAAAAAUGAACAUAUUAGAUGAUUCAACAAUGUUUUUGAAUUUUUCUUUCCUUCCAAUUGGACAUUUAAAUCUUAGUGUGGUUUACCCAAUUAGAAUAGCACUUAAAAUCUCUCAAGUUACAAGUCUUUCUAACUUUUAUAACUUAAAAUGAAAUCAUCUAUUGCAAAAUGCGUCUAUAUGAAUAUGCACGUUCCCCUUCCUUUAUAUUCCUUUUCUUUUCCCCUUUCUCUUCCUUUCCUUUUA